GAGGUUUUAGCUUAAUAAAAGUGCUUGAUUUGCAAUCAGGAGAUGUAAAUUAAAAUUUUACAGGCUUU
rnacentral:tRNA from 1 species